CUCUGAUUUGUCUGAUUUAAAUGCCCUUUUCUUAUUUUUAAUCUCUUGUUUUACUUCUCUACUAAGCCACAUUGGUUUUAAUUUGUUUCUUUUAUAUUUAUUACCCAAUGGUACAUACUGAGAAAUGUACCUUUCUAAUAUUUGCUUGAAUAGUUUCCAUUUAUUCUCAGUGUUUUUAUCACUAAGGAGUUUAUGCCAGUCGAUAUGUUGUACAGCUGCCCUAAUCUUAUUGAAAUUGGCUUUUUUUAAAUUAUAUGUUUUAGUAUACUCCACUUGCUUUUGCUUUUUUGAGUUUAUUUCAAAAUUUACCAUAUUGUGAUCACUAUUUCCCAAAUGCUCCCCUACUUGAAUGUUGGUUAAAAGAUCAACGUUGUUUGUUAUGACGAGAUCCAGACAAGCAUCCUUUCUAG